ACGCUGGCGGCGUGCUUAACACAUGCAAGUCAAGGAGAAAGUUCCUUUCGGGGAGCGAUUAAACUGGCGCACGGGUGAGUAAUAUAUAAGCAAUCUACCUAUGGGUUCGGAAUAACGUCGAGAAAUCGGCGCUAAUACCGUAUAAUGCAGCGGCAUCGCAUGGUGAUGUUGUUAAAGUUUAAUUAACGCCUAUAGAUGAGCUUGUAUCUGAUUAGCUAGUUGGUGAGGUAACGGCCCACCAAGGCUACGAUCAGUAGCUGGUCUGAGAGGAUGAUCAGCCACACGGGCACUGAGACACGGGCCCGACUCCUACGGGAGGCAGCAGUAGGGAAUAUUGGACAAUGGGCGCAAGCCUGAUCCAGCCAUCCCGCGUGAAGGAUUAAGGCCCUCUGGGUUGUAAACUUCUUUUCUUUGGGAAUAAAAACUCCGUUUCUACGGAGCUUGAAGGUACCAGAGGAAUAAGCACCGGCUAACUCCGUG
rnacentral:rRNA from 1 species